rnacentral:ribozyme from 13 species
AAGAGAAAGAAAGAGAAAAAGAAAAAAGAAAAAAGAAAAAGAGAAGAGGGGGGAGGGAGAGUUUUGAUUUUUGAGAGGACUUCAAUUUUAAAUGUGAGAAUUUGUUUCUUUUUUCAAAAUUCUCCU